AUUGAACGCUGGCGGCAGGCUUAACACAUGCAAUUCGAGCGAGCGGCGGACGGGUGAGUAAUGUCUGGGAAACUGCCUGAUGGAGGGGGAUAACUACUGGAAACGGUAGCUAAUACCGCAUACCAUCAUGAGUGCCCAGAUGGGAUUAGCUAGUAGGUGGGGUAAUGGCUCACUUAGGCGAAGAUACUUAGCUGGUCUGAGAGGAUUACCAGCCACACUGGAACUUAGAAACGGUCCAGACUCCUACGGGAGGCAGCAGUGGGGAAUAUUGUACAAUGGGCGCAAGCCUGAUGCAGCCAUGCCGCGUGUGUGAAGAAGGCCUUCGGGUUGUAAAGCACUUUCAGCGAGGAGGCGUUACUCGCAGAAGAAGCACCGGCUAACUCCGUGCCAGCAGCCGCGGUAAUAC
rnacentral:rRNA from 1 species